rnacentral:rRNA from 1 species
UACAGAGGUCCCAAGCGUUGUUCGGAUUCACUGGGCGUAAAGGGUGCGUAGGCGGUCGGGUAAGUCUGACGUGAAAUCUUCAAGCUCAACUUGGAAACUGCGUCCGAUACUAUUCGGCUAGAGGAAUGGAGGGGAGACUGGAAUACUUGGUGUAGCAGUGAAAUGCGUAGAUAUCUGGAGGAACACCGGUGGCGAAGGCGGCAUCCUGGACCAACACUGACGCUGAGGAGCGAAAGCCAGGGGAGCAAACGGG